rnacentral:ncRNA from 1 species
AACACCGUGAGGUCUUGUGGGGAUGAAGCGGCUAGUUAAGCUAUGGGCUGACGGACCGAAACAUCCUAUAAGGCUUCGCCUGGAGGCGAGAUGGGCAAGGACACGGAAGCCGGGUGAUCUAAUGGGUAGAGUCAAUGAUGCAGCUGUGUAGUGAAGGUUCACACU